UACGUAGGGUGCGAGCGUUAUGCGGAAUCACUGGGCUUAAAGCGUGUGUAGGCGGCUCGUUAAGUACCUUGUGAAAUCCCACGGCUUAACCGUGGAAUUGCUGGGUAUACUGGUGGUCUUGAGCCACUUAGGGGCUACCGGAACAAAUGGUGGAGCGGUGAAAUGCGUAGAUAUCAUUUGGAACGCCAAUGGUGAAAACAGGUAGCUGGGAGUGUGCUGACGCUGAGACACGAAAGCCAGGGGAGCAAACGGG
rnacentral:rRNA from 1 species